UGUCCAUCUGUCCUUCAUUGGUGAUGUUAACUUUUUUUUUUUUCAUUGAUCUUUUUGCUUUUAAUUUUUUUUUUUUUCGCUCUUUUUUUUUUUUUUUAUUAUACUCUAAGUUUUAGGGUACAUGUGCACAUUGUGCAGCUUGAUGGGGAUGGCAUUGAAUCUGUAAAUUACCUUGGGCAGUAUAAGCCUGUUCUUUAUGGCAUAAUUUAUAACAGCAAAUGUUUG
rnacentral:lncRNA from 1 species